UACGGGGGGGGCAAGCGUUGUUCGGAAUUACUGGGCGUAAAGGGCUCGUAGGCGGCCAACUAAGUCAGACGUGAAAUCCCCAGGCUCAACCUGGGAACUGCGUCUGAUGCUGGAUGGCUUGAAUCCGGGAGAGGGAUGCAGAAUUCCAGGUGUAGUGGUGAAAUGCGUAGAUAUCGGGAGGAACACCAGUGGCGUAGGCGGCUGUCUGGGGUCUUGCUGACGCUGAGGCACGAAAGCCAGGGGAGCAAACGGG
rnacentral:rRNA from 1 species